CAUGCAAGUCGAGGGGAAACGACAUCGAAAGCUUGCUUUUGAUGGGCGUCGACCGGCGCACGGGUGAGUAACGCGUAUCCAACCUGCCCAUCACUUGGGGAUAACCUUGCGAAAGUAAGACUAAUACCCAAUGACGUCUCUAGAAGACAUCUGAAAGAGAUUAAAGAUUUAUCGGUGAUGGAUGGGGAUGCGUCUGAUUAGCUUGUUGGCGGGGUAACGGCCCACCAAGGCGACGAUCAGUAGGGGUUCUGAGAGGAAGGUCCCCCACAUUGGAACUGAGACACGGUCCAAACUCCUACGGGAGGCAGCAGUGAGGAAUAUUGGUCAAUGGACGAGAGUCUGAACCAGCCAAGUAGCGUGCAGGAUGACGGCCCUAUGGGUUGUAAACUGCUUUUAUAAGGGAAUAAAGUUAGUCUCGUGAGACUUUUUGCAUGUACCUUAUGAAUAAGGACCGGCUAAUUCCGUGCCAGCAGCCGCGGUAAUACGGAAGGUCCGGGCGUUAUCCGGAUUUAUUGGGUUUAAAGGGAGCGUAGGCCGGAGAUUAAGCGUGUUGUGAAAUGUAGACGCUCAACGUCUGCACUGCAGCGCGAACUGGUUUCCUUGAGUACGCACAAAGUGGGCGGAAUUCGUGGUGUAGCGGUGAAAUGCUUAGAUAUCACGAAGAACUCCGAUUGCGAAGGCAGCUCACUGGAGCGCAACUGACGCUGAAGCUCGAAAGUGCGGGUAUCGAACAGGAUUAGAUACCCUGGUAGUCCGCACGGUAAACGAUGGAUGCCCGCUGUUGGUCUGAAUAGGUCAGCGGCCAAGCGAAAGCAUUAAGCAUCCCACCUGGGGAGUACGCCGGCAACGGUGAAACUCAAGGAAUUGAC
rnacentral:rRNA from 1 species